rnacentral:miRNA from 1 species
ACAGACACUGUGACAUUGCA